CUUCAUGUUUUAUUCAGGCUCUGUGUUUCACGUUGCAUUUCUCCAUCGUGGGCACUGGUUGCACUGCGAGAGGUGUGGUGGGCAGGGAUGGAGCAUGGGGACCUCCUGGUCCCAGCAGCCAAGAGAAGGACAUGGGACAAGGAGGAGAAGCUCCCAAGUUUUCCUGCUGCUAGAACUUAGGGUUGGUUUCAAUGGCUUGCAAUAAGGUGGAAGAAAAGCCUGGCUGCAAGGUGAGAUGCUGAGAAUAGGGAAGAUGUUCCCAAAGCCUCAAAUAAAUGAGGUGAGAAACAUGCUGUCCUCAGCCAAAUGCCUGCUCUCAAGCGUUAUUUGAACAGUUUCCUAAACAUCUCUCUGCAAAGUCCUGUAAUGAAAGGAGUGGUUUCCUUUGGCUCCCUUCCCAGACCUACCCAACAGAAGGAUGCUGACCUAAGGCUGUUAAACACUUUGAUGUAUGGCCGCGUCUCCUUAAGUAGAAGAUCCAUAUUCUUAAGCUAAGCUGCCAUGACACGGGGACAUUAUGAACUCUCUGAACCAACUGAAUCCUACAAAUGAGCCAUUAGUUGGCUGCACGGCGCGUUGGCUCCCUGCGCCCAAGGGGGCUCCCGUUAAAGAAGAUAAUCGUUGCUGUCCACACGCCCUGCGGGCUGCUGUGUGUUCAUUUUAAUGCAAUUUG
rnacentral:lncRNA from 7 species